rnacentral:rRNA from 1 species
AUUGAACGCUGGCGGCAUGCCUUACACAUGCAAGUCGAACGGUAACAGCACUUCGGUGGCUGACGAGUGGCGAACGGGUGAGUAAUACAUCGGAACGUGCCCGAGAGUGGGGGAUAACGCAGCGAAAGCUGUGCUAAUACCGCAUACGAUCUACGGAUGAAAGCAGGGGACCGCAAGGCCUUGCGCUCAUGGAGCGGCCGAUGGCAGAUUAGGUAGUUGGUGGGAUAAAAGCUUACCAAGCCGACGAUCUGUAGCUGGUCUGAGAGGACGACCAGCCACACUGGGACUGAGACACGGCCCAGACUCCUACGGGAGGCAGCAGUGGGGAAUUUUGGACAAUGGGGGAAACCCUGAUCCAGCCAUGCCGCGUGCAGGAUGAAGGCCUUCGGGUUGUAAACUGCUUUUGUACGGAACGAAAAGGUCUUUUCUAAUAAAGAAGACUCAUGACGGUACCGUAAGAAUAAGCACCGGCUAACUACGUG